rnacentral:tRNA from 1 species
GAAGGACUAGUUAAACCAUAACAAUGUCUUGUCAAGACAUAAUUACCUCUGGUGUUCUUCU